rnacentral:lncRNA from 1 species
UGUAAUAAUAAUUCAUAUGAGCCUCCAGAGCAUUUUGAUAUUAAUGUUAUGUACUUUUAAGGCUUCAUGCUGAUGUUCCAGUUGUUGCUGCAUGGGCAGAGGGGACAUUGUGAAUGAAAGAAGCCAUUUGUUAUACUGUCCACGUCCAACCGACAGAAAAGAAGGCUCCCUUUGAAACGUUUGUGUCUGUUAUGGACUGCUGAGAAGUCGUACACAGGAUGGUGGUGACAGCGGCAUUUUCACAUGUAGGGGUAGUGAAGCAAUAUGACUGGCUGCUGGAAUACAGGAGGCAGAAUCCUCCCACAUCCUCCCUUGAAAACAUCUGCAAGUGUCGGAGAUCCCCAAGAAAAAAUCUCUCUCUCUGA